rnacentral:lncRNA from 1 species
CAGACUUCAUGUGUCACCUGGCAGCUUGCCCUUGAGCUCUUCUGCCAUAGGCCAGAAGAGGGUGUCAGAUGUCUUGGGACUGGAGUUUCAGACAGUUGUGAACUGCCACAUGAUGAAUGCUGGGAAUUGAACCUGAGUCCUCUGGAAGAAGAGCCAAUGCUUUUAACUGUUGAGCCAUCUCUCUAGGGCCAGCAUUCCAUUUUUAGAGACAUACCAAAUUGUGUUUGUUCAUUUCUGAGUUGAAGGCAAGGUAAUUCAUUUGAUUUGAUACUAGUUUUCUGUGGCUGCUGAAAGAAGUUACAACAAACUUUGAAGUGUCAGAACAGAAUUCAUCUUCUCCUAGUUCUGGGAGCCAGAAGUCUGGAGUGAUCCUGUCAGUAGGAUCACAUGCUCUUCACAGGUGCUGUGGCAUUCCCUUUUCUGUCCUUUCCAGCUUUUGAUGUCCAAUGGCCUGUGACUUCAUUUCUCCGAUCUGCCUCCAUUUUUAUAUGAGAAUCUAUGUGUUUCUGUGUUUUUCUCUUACAAAGAUGCUCUUGGUGGUAUUGAGAGCCCACUGGAAAAGGAGGGAAAUCACCUCAGUUCAGGAUCCUUCCUUUUAUCUGUAAAAGUCGUUUUUCUAACUACUCUUUUUUCGGGGAAAGGUCCCAGGGUCAGGGUGCCCCAGGACCCUAGUUGACUGGGCCCUCCUCUCACCACAUGGUGCAUGGGGCAGAAAGGUUUUCUCUCCUUCUAACUACUCUUAAGAUAACAUGCGUAGUUCUGGUGAUUGGCUAGGAUCUUUCUUGAGCUCACAAGCGAGCCCACUAAGAAGCCUUUUGCCUGGUCUUUCUUUUCUUUCUUCAAGACAGAAUCGCACUAAGAAGCCACAGCUGUCUUCAAACCUGGGAUCCUCCAUCCCACCUCCUGAGUGCAGGGUUGAGAGCAGGUGUCACCAGGUGACAUUUUUCAUCUCUUCUGUACAGCUAGUGACACAGCUUUUCCUCUCAGCACAGCAUUGGCUGCAUCCCAAACAUUUUAUAUGUUUUUUUCUCUCUACAAGUUUAAAAAAAAUCAACUAAGAACCUUAAUCUUGAGAAGUGUGUUUUAAGGCAUUAAAGUGUCUCCCAUUCUGUAACUCUUGGAGUGUAACUUGGAGUGUUUGAAAGAUACUGGAACAAAUAAAUGAACAUAUGAAUGAAUGAAUACAUGAAUGAACUAAUCUGUAAUAAUCUGCAAUCAUUCAGUAUAGUUGGGGGGAAGGGUAGGGGAAUUGAUCAAAACACAUUGCACACAUGUAUUAAGUUCUCAACUAAUAAGUAAAAAUAUGUUUAAAAAAACAAUUACUGGGGGCUGGAGAGAUGGCUCAGAGGUUAAGAGCACCGGCUGCUCUUCCAGAGGUCCUGAGUUCAAUUCCCAGCAACCACAUGGUGGCUCACAACCAUCUGUUAUGAGAUCUGGUGCCCUCUUCUGGUGUGCAGGUAUACAUGGAAGCAGAAUGUUGUAUACAUAAUAAAUAAAUAAAAUCUUAAAACAAAUUAUGGUCAGGGCC